GAUGAACGCUGGCGGCGUGCCUAAUACAUGCAAGUCGAGCGAACAGACGAGGAGCUUGCUCCUCUGACGUUAGCGGCGGACGGGUGAGUAACACGUGGAUAACCUACCUAUAAGACUGGGAUAACUUCGGGAAACCGGAGCUAAUACCGGAUAACAUGUUGAACCGCAUGGUUCAACAGUGAAAGACGGUCUUGCUGUCACUUAUAGAUGGAUCCGCGCCCCAUUAGCUAGUUGGUAAGGUAACGGCUUACCAAGGCAACGAUGCGUAGCCGACCUGAGAGGGUGAUCGGCCACACUGGAACUGAGACACGGUCCAGACUCCUACGGGAGGCAGCAGUAGGGAAUCUUCCGCAAUGGGCGAAAGCCUGACGGAGCAACGCCGCGUGAGUGAAGAAGGUCUUCGGAUCGUAAAACUCUGUUAUUAGGGAAGAACAAAUGUGUAAGUAACUAUGCACGUCUUGACGGUACCUAAUCAGAAAGCCACGGCUAACUACGUG
rnacentral:rRNA from 1 species